rnacentral:rRNA from 1 species
UACGGGGGGGGUAAGCGUUGUUCGGAAUUACUGGGCGUAAAGGGCUCGUAGGCGGCCAACUAAGUCAUACGUGAAAUCCCUCGGCUUAACCGGGGAACUGCGUCCGAUACUGGAUGGCUUGAGUAUGGGAGAGGGAUGCGGAAUUCCAGGUGUAGCGGUGAAAUGCGUAGAUAUCUGGAGGAACACCGGUGGCGAAGGCGGCAUCCUGGACCAUUACUGACGCUGAGGAGCGAAAGCCAGGGGAGCAAACGGG